rnacentral:rRNA from 1 species
GCGGCCACUGCUAUCAAGUUCCGACUAAGCCAUGCGAGUCAAGGUAUCGUAAGAUGCCGGCAAACUGCUCAGUAACACGUGGAUAAUCUAACCUUGAGUAAGGGAUAACUUCGGGAAACUGAAGGUAAUACCUUAUAAUUGCUUAAAACUGGAAUGUUUUUGCAAUAAAAGUUACGACGCUCAAGGAUGAGUCUGCGACCUAUCAGGUAGUAGGUGGUGUAAUGGACCACCUAGCCUCAGACGGGUACGGGCCCUGGGAGGGGUAGCCCGGAGAUGGACUCUGAGACAUAAGUCCAGGCCCUACGGGGCGCAGCAGGCGCGAACACUGUGCAAUGCGCGAAAGCGCGACGCGGGGAGCUUGAGUGUCUUGGCAUAGCCAAGAGUUUUCUCAUUCCUAAAAAGCAUGAGGAAUAAGUGCUGGGUAAGACGGGUGCCAGCCGCCGCGGUAACACCCGCAGCACGAGUAGUGGUCACUUUUAUUGAGCCUAAAGCGUUCGUAGCCGGUUUUGUAAAUCUUCAGAUAAAGCCUGAAGCUUAACUCCAGAAAGUCUGAAGAGACUGCAAGACUUGAGAUCGGGUGAGGUUAAACGUACUUUCAGGGUAGGGGUAAAAUCCUGUAAUCCCGGAAGGACGACCAGUGGCGAAAGCGUUUAACUAGAACGAAUCUGACGGUAAGGAACGAAGGCUAGGGUAGCAAACCGGAUUAGAUACCCGGGUAGUCCUAGCUGUAAACAUUGCCCAUUUGAUGUUGCUUUUCCGUUGAGGGAAGGCAGUGUCGGAGCGAAGGUGUUAAAUGGGCCGCUUGGGAAGUAUGGUCGCAAGACUGAAACUUAA